rnacentral:lncRNA from 1 species
GAUCACAAGAUGGUUGUGGUAGAGCUCGAGAUUGACAGAGAGAGGCAGAGAGUUGGUCUUUGAUCGCAAUCUAUCAGGAUCCAAAGACAAUCGGGCUCCUGUCCAAUCUAACUUGCUGUCAGCGACAAUGGAAUGGAACUCGACGGAGGCGAGAAAGCAGCGACAGCGAGAUAGACGUGAUUCCGUCCUCAAGAGUCGUGGUGGUGGAGAGAAGGUCAAGCUCGUGAGCUUCGCCGAGAUCAAUUCUCGAGCUUUGUUGCAAUCUUUCUAACCGAAGAGGAAACAGAGGCGAC